rnacentral:rRNA from 1 species
CUUGGGUAAAAUCCUGGAAGUCCUGGAAAUCCUUGAACCCAAGUUUAAUAUCCCUUCCUUUAUAAACUCAAGCACAACCAAGAGUUUAAAGGGCCCUGUUUCUAUCCCUGGUACUCAGAAUUGGUAGCCCCUAUGAUCCUUAGGAAACCCUAAAACCACCUGUAGCCUUGCCUAAUCUGAGCUUAUCCUGACAGAAAAUGGUAUAGACUAGCUAGUCCUUACUCUUUUGUAUAGGAAACACUUGACGAGAGUUCUUUAUAUCCCUUGUACUCAGAAUAGCGCUUUCCCCCGCAGGCUUUUUUGCUAAUCUGAGCUUAUUUGCGUGCCCUUUUGUCAAACCCAAAAAGAAUGACCCUUAGUAUUUGUAAAUCACUAAAGAGAGACAGGAUUUGCUGGUAAUCAAAAACAGAGUUAUGGGUAAUAAAGGUGGUUGCCAAGCAGUGAUAAACACAAUGUCUUGCUUUUGAAAAGUGUGGUUGGACAGUGUGGUUGGACAGUGUGGUUGGACAGUGUGGUUGGAAAGUGUGUUUGCAAAGUGUGGUUGGGAAGGCAGUGUGGUUGAGUUAAGGUUUUUAAGGUUUUAAGGUUUCACCCCACCAAAAAUCACGAAAAGGGUGGUUGAAAAAGCAGUGUGGUUGACUUAAGGUUUUUAAGGUUUCACCCCACCAAAAACACGAAAAUCCCGAGUUGGAGGGUGGAAAAACAAUAGCAAUGGCAGAAUAACCUGAAGAACAACUUGUUUUUGAUGUUUUGAAGUUUGUAAAAGCAAUGUAAGAUAGGUUUAAACCUUAUUCUUACGUGACAAAUGAAGAAAAAAGGCCUCGUGGUUGCUGUAUUGUGGAUUGCGCAAAAAUAUCGUGUUUUUGGUGCAAGAAAACCGCGAAAAUUGCGACAAUUUGGGCAGUGGUGUAACUCCUCACCCACAAUGGGUAUUGGAAUUUUGAAAAGUGGAAUUGGACAAGCCAACUGAGUAGUUUUCACCACUUAUAUUGUUAUAUCAUAUGAGUGGUGUGGUUAAUGGUGGGAUUGCGACGUUUUUUUCAUUUACAGACAAGGGGCAUCUGAUUGUCUGAUUAAAACAUAGCAUUGCGAUGGCCAGCAAGUGGUGUUGACGCAAUGUGAUUUCUGCCCAGUGCUCUGAAUGUCAAAGUGAAGAAGUUCAAAUAAGCGCGGGUAAACGGCGGGAGUAACUAUGACUCUCUUAAAGUAGCCAAAUGCCUCGUCAUCAAAUUAGUGACGUGCAUGAAUGGAUUAAUGAGAUUCUCACUGUCCCUAUCUACUGUCUAGCAAAACCACAGCCAAGGGAACGGGCUUGGCGGAAUCAGCGGGGAAAGAAGACCCUGUUGAGCUUGACUCUAGUUUGACAUUGUGAAAAGACAUAGGGGGUGAAGAAUAGGUGGGAGCUCCGGCGCCGGUGAAAUAUCACUACCCUUAUUGUUUUUUUACUUAUUCAGUGAAGCAGAACUGGGCGUUGCCCCCCAACUUCUGGUGUCAAGGUCCCCUGCGGGACGGGUUGAAGACAUUGUCAGGUGGGGAGUUUAGCUGGGGCGGCACAUCUGUUAAAUCAUAAUGCAGUUGUCCUAAAGGGGACUCAUGAAGAACAGAAAUCUCCAGUGGAACAAAAGGGUAAAAGUCCCCUUGAUUUUGAUUUUCAGUGUGAAUACAAACCAUGAAAGUGUGGCCUAUUGAUCCUUUAGUCCCGCAGGCUAAGCGGUGCCAGAAAAGUUACCACAGGGAUAACUGGCUUGUGGCAGCCAAGCGUCCAUAAUAAGGUUGCUUUAUGAUCCUUCGAUGUCGGCUCUUCCUAUCAUACCAAAGCAGAAUUUGGUAAGAGUUGGAUUGUUCACCCACUAAUAAGGAACGUGAGCUGGGUUUAGACCGUUGUGAGACAGGUUAGUUUUACCCUACUGAUGACCGUUGCCGUCACGGUAAUUCAACUUAGUACGAGAGGAACCGUUGAUCCAGAUAAUUGGUUUUUGCGGCUGUCCGACCGGCCAGUGCCCCGAAGCUACCAUCUGCUGAAUUAUGGCUGAAUGCCUCUAAGUCGGAAUCCAUGCCGGGAGGCGGCAAUUCCCCCCUGCACAUUGUAGUUGGAUACAAAUAGGCCUCCAGGCCCUGGACUUUAGCGGGCUGGCAGUGGCGUCCAGGUGGAAGUCCCGGACGCCAGCCGGCGGAUUGCAAUUUCACCAUACGCGGGGAUAAAUCCUUUGCACACAACUUAACGGACCGGCCAGG